GCGGUGGGAGCACGUGGUUUAAUUCGAUGAUACGCGAGGAACCUACCAAGGCUUAAAUGUAGAUUGACAGGUUUAGAGAUAGACUUUUCUUCGGACAAUUUACAAGGUGCUGCAUGGUUGUCGUCAGCUCGUGCCGUGAGGUGUCAGGUUAAGUCCUAUAACGAGCGCAACCCCUAUUGUUAGUUGCCAGCGAGUAAUGUCGGGAACUCUAACAAGACUGCCGGUGCAAACCGUGAGGAAGGUGGGGAUGACGUCAAAUCAUCACGGCCCUUACGUCUUGGGCUACACACGUGCUACAAUGGCCAGUACAGAAAGCAGCUACCAGGCAACUGGAUGCGAAUCUCAAAAACUGGUCUCAGUUCGGAUUGGAGUCUGCAACUCGACUCCAUGAAGCUGGAAUCGCUAGUAAUCGGAUAUCAGCCAUGAUCCGGUGAAUACGUUCCCGGGCCUUGUACACACCGCACGUCAAGCCAUGGAAGCCGGGGGUACCUGAAGUCGGUCGCCGCAAGGAGCUGCCUA
rnacentral:rRNA from 1 species